CUGAAAGUAGCAAGAUGGCAGCAAACCCUCCAGGUCAAGCGGCUCUUGUACACUGAAUUUGGCUCUUGGUUGCCAAGCUGUGCAUCUGGGAGCAUACUGAAGGUCCAAAGAGGCACAGUUCUGCAAGUGAGAACAAAAGAUGAGAGGAGAUCUUAGCCAUCAAGAAUAGAUAACAAGAGCUCGAGACCAUAAAGAAACACAAAACAAAGUUUUCAGAAUAAAAAUAGGGUUGCAAUCUUGGCAGAACUAGACAAGGAGAAGAGAAAAUUACUUAUGCAAAACCAGUCUUCCACAAAUCACCCUGGAGCCAGAGUUCUGCAGCCAUUCUGCCAAACAUCUGAUCUUCCC
rnacentral:lncRNA from 1 species